CGACCUUACUUGAACAGGAUCUGUUCUAUAGGAUCGUACCGCUGCAUCCUUGACUAAUAAGGAGGCAAGCACUUAAGCCUGGUUGAUGAGUCAUGACCUGUGGGCCAGAGCGUGAUUAACGGCCAGGAUUGGCUUGAUGGCUGUAUCCAGUGCUGUAGAGGAUCGUUCCUGGCUAGGCCUGCUUAGCUUGGAUGGCCCAUGGGUUGUCUGACAGGCUCUUUUUUGUUUUUUUUGUUGUGCUGCAUUUGAAGACAAUUUGUGCAAAAUGUUAUCUUUGACAGCUGUCUUCUUGCUGAACAUUGCUCUCGAGUUAAAAGAGGCGGAUCUCUUGCUCGGUUUUGCCAUUAUUAAUAGAUUAUAAGCUUUCCUUUUCCUUUUUGCUGUGCUGCAUUCAAGGUAAUUGAUGUCAACAGCUGUCUUUUCCCUCAACAUUGAUUUCUUGCUCGUUUUUUUGUCAUUCAUACAGCAAGGAAGUUGUUCCUUUUGCUCUGCUGCAGCCUGCAUUUGAACAACUAUCUUUUCCCUCAACAGCUGCUCAACAUUGUUCUCAAUUUAAAAGGGGCAGAUCUCUUGCUCGUUUUUACCAUUAAUAGAGCAAGACUUGUUGUACAUUUUGUUUGUAAGUUGCUUCUUCAUCUCUGACUGUCCGCGAAUCUGCAUUAUUGUUGAGAAAUGGUGAUUCUUGGUGCUUGAUUUGUAAAAAGUUCACAGUUGUUUUAAUCUUUCUUUUUUGGUUCCAGGUACAAAUGAGUUACAUUAAAAAAACCAUACGUUUCAAAAAAAAAAAGAGUAAAACUGAGUCCCUGAACCUUGUGAGAGAUGUGCAUAAUACAGCCGUAUUCAGACUUCAGAGCAUGUCUGCACUCUGCAGUGCAAGUCUCAAUAUCUGCCAACUGCAAUGCAAAAGCUAUAGUCCUGCUGUUUACUUGGCCUUCAGCUCUGAGCAGCAACAACAUGCCUGUAUUAAAACCCUGCAUGCUUCUGUUUGUCACUGGCUGGCACAGGAUCCAUGGAGAAACCCAUGUGGGCUGCGGCCCAAUACAGAAUGCUAAUAAUCUACAUCUCUGUGAACUGAACCCUGACAAAACACUAGCUAAGAUGGUGCCACCUCGCAAACGCAAACAACUAUCAGCCAGCUUAUAAUGCUGAUCCUCGGCACUCACAGCACGACCUUACUUGAACAGGAUCUGUUCUAUAGGAUCGUACCGCUGCAUCCUUGACUAAUAAGGAGGCAAGCACUUAAGCUUGGUUGAUGACACAUGACUUGUGGGUCAGAGCGUGAUUAACGGUUAGGAUUGGAGCUGAGAUGCCUGAUCUGUGGCUGUAGAGGAUCGUUCCUGGUCAGACUUGGCUUGGCUGGGGUGGCUCACAGGUUGUCUGACAGGCUCACAUUUUUUUUCUCCUCUUUUGAAUCUGUUUUGCUAGGUAGACUUGGCAACUGGCAUGUGUAUGCUCAUCGAUAAAUACCACGAUUACUGCACAUAAGAAAGCACAUCGCUGCAUUUUUCCUAACGACACGUAUAUUGCCCUGAAAAUUCCACUACUUUGCUCCUCUUCUGAAUCUAUUUAGCAAGUUAGUGAUUAGUGAUUGUGUGGCAACUGGCAUGUGUAUGCGCAUCGAUAAUAAAUACCAUGAUUACUGCACAUAAGAAAGCACCUCGCUGCAUUUUGCUAAUGACACGUAUUUUGCCCUGAAAAUUCCAGUACUAUCCCAGUGGCCAGUGGCGCGCCCAGUGCCCAGCUUAACUAGAGGCUUCAUCGGCGGACACCUAACUGAACACUCAGACACAGCUUAUCCAUCCACUUAGCCGCAGACUGUUCCUGAAACUGAAAGCCUCCUUCCUGACGCCUUUUGCGAUGAAAUGAGUGUUGUAUGGCCGGUGUGGCGGUGCUGCAGCGGGGACAGAGCCUGAUGGAGCCAUAUGUCUCGCUGCAACUACAAGCAGAGCUAGGCUUUCGGUGUGGUACCCCAGCACCAGCACCAGCACGUAUCUAAUCAUCCCCCGAUGGAUCGGAUCCUUUUCGUGAUCUAUCUCUACUAGUCCCAAAAGCCGCCGUGUGCACAUGGCAAGGAUGGCACAAAGCCCCGGGCCAACUCGCCGUGUCUCCUGCUGGAGGAUUCCUCUGACACCGGCCAUGGCUUGGCUCCACACACACACAGAUCCUUUGCAAGUCUCAAACCCAAUUGCGUGCAAGAUGCAGCGCGCUCGCCUCUGAAAACAAGACUGGAGGCAGUAGGAUCUUAUGAGCAGCCCUUUGACUAUCUGAGAUGAAUGAUUGAGUCCGGUUGAAUUCACAGUUCUUCAGACCUGCAGCUUCAGCAGCAGCUAAUAGUAACGUGAUCACUCGCUGAAGUCCUGCCAAUGCUCGCAUGGCCAUGGCCUACAUGGUUGGUAGAUGCGCGUGUUAGUUUGCACCCUCAGACGACGAGACGACAGACUCCUCCAUGUUCUGUCUUGUGUCCUCCAAGUCCCAAUGUCGCAGGAAAAUGGCGGCAACACGGUUCAGGUCAAGGAGCAAUUGGCGGCCAAGGAAGCAAACCUCACUCUCUCGCUCUUCUGACUUUUUCCUUUCAUUCACGUACAGUACAGCUCUGAACGUUGCGCCGCAAAUCUUGGAGCUGCUCGAAUACACAGCGAUGUGUUGCUUCUCCUUUUGUCAACCGGCACUUAUGAUCCAGCUCCACAGAAACGCACGGAUUCGAAAUUUCGAAUCAAACAUGAUCGCACCAAGCAUCAUGCAUUCGACUAUAUUCGAGUUCGACGAGGAAUGAUUGAUGUCGAAACCUCCAACAACUGCCCUACAAAAAUUGCACGAAAACCACCUAGUACGUAGUAGUAGUAGCUAGUAGCUAGCUCGCUCUAGUCGAACUUGACCACUCAUUCAGUGUAGGCCGGAUCAGAGAGUCUGUUCAUUUGAGUUUUGAUCGAAUCUAUCAAUUAUUUAUUAUUAGUUUUUUUCUCUCAGAAUUAAUCAGCGAAUAUUACUUUUAACCAUAGCUUUUCACACAAGCGAACAAACUCUCUAGUACAAUAAAAGGAGAUGGCCAGCAGCUGGACAGCGGUCAUUAUAUUAGAAACUGGUCUCAGAUGUUCAUAUCGUCCACGCUAUGGCUGGUCCCUAAUACUAAGGCUUUGCAGUAUGCACCAGCAUGGUCUCCACCUCCAGUCAUCCACUGCAUUUGCCGGCGACGACGGGCAAUGCUGCACCUUCAAGGGAGAGAGCAUGCAGCUGACGUAAUGGGAGCGUCAGCGUGGAAGAACGAACGACGAAUGCACUCACGAACACUGCAAUCAUGCAAUGCAAUCUAGAGAAGACUCCAACUACAGCUUGCAAUUAGGCAAAUCAGCUAGAAAAAGUAUAUUCAAAAAACCAGAAAAAAGAAAAAAAAGGAAAAAAAGAAAUGGUAGUAUAUACUAGUAUAAAAAGGCGGAGGUCAAAAGGGGUUUGACCCGUGCACCCAGGCAGUGAAUGCGAUAGACACUGGCCUGCCUGAGCCUGACAGGCCCAUCCGGUUCGGCCCAUCUUACCUAACACAGCCACGAUGCGCCUCGUGGGCCCCGGAGGUCAGUGACGGACGGACGAGGAGAAUCUGUGGGCCUCGAGUCUGAGGUGGCGUCAGAGCCCACCUGAAACCCGAUGCACUGUUGGCAUGUGCAGCUUGGGGUCCAUGAGUGUUGACCGCCAUGUCGAUCCGUGUUUUUUUUCCCUCUCGCCCAGAUGGAGAGAGGUUUAAUUUUCAGCCGGUUCACACUCGCAACGUCAGUCAGUAACGAGUAAAGCAGGCAGCGAAACGGAUUUGGCAACCACGAAAAACAAGAGCCAUUAAAGAAAUACAUCUUCUUUAUAUGACCUUUUUUUAUUUUAAACUUAUUUGUAUGGUCUUAAAAUAAAAUUUUCUUCCUUUUAUGACCUUCUAUCUAUUUUUUACACCUAACGGUGUUAAGAGUAAAAUAACCAUUUUGCCCCUAGCAAAAAAUGCAGAGUUUUAUUUGUCUACUAUAUAUUUGUAGUAAUAUUGUGCAAAUAAAUUUGAAAAUGUACAUGUAAGUUUAUAGUAAAAUUACACAAAUAUGUUUUAAAAUGUACAAGUUUGUAGUAUUAUUACGCAAAUAAGUUUUAAAAUAUACUCGAGACAAACAAAACUCUGCAUUUUUUUGUUAUGAGUAAAGUGGUUGUUUUACCAUUGACUUAACACCGUCAAGUGCUAGAAAUGGAUGGAAGGCCAUUCAAGAAAGAAAAUUUCGUUUUGGAGCCAUAUAAGUAAGUUCAAAAUAAAAAAAAGUUAUAUAAGGAAGAUGCAUUUUUUCUAGAGUGUAAAUAUCUCGAAAAACAAUGUAACCACAGAGAAACAGAAGGAACUGAAAAGCGGCAGAGAGUAACCACAGCCAUACGUACUCUUGCUAGAUUAUUUUUCGGUUACACGAGCAGUAUCUGUCCCCCUUUUUUUCUUUUGCAGUUUGGCAUGCAUGUGUUGUCGUUUAAGUACGUAGUACGAGCGUGCGAUAUCGAUGUGCUGUAGAGGUAUCACACACAGGCUGGAUUGUGUGGAUCAUGGGUUGACUAGCUAGUACAGUAAUAUUAAAAAGCAGGGACUCUUGUACCAUGAAGCCAAGGCAUAUUCGCAUUCCGCAGUGUAUUCAAAUAGCAGAGACUCUUGUUCCCAAUUGCGUUCCAAGUGGGUGUUAUUAGUAAUAAGAGUGUUAACAACGUUCUACUAACAAGUAUAAGCGGCAGCACACACGCAUGUGAGUAGAUUCUGAAACGCUGUGCGGUUGACCUCUUGGUUGGACGGACGGAUCACGCACGCACCUAACCUGCUGCCCCCUGGAUCACUCUGGAUUGCAUGUUAGGCCGGUAAACACAUGCACAUCCACACUCAUCAGACAGACACACACACUCGCUCUCGUCGCACUGUCAUCAUUCGCUGAAUCAUCUGUUUAUUUAUUAUAUGAAAUCCCUUUGGCUUUUAUUUAUGCGCUGACAACGCGAGACGACGGCGACGCCGACAAGCGACGCAACGCAACCACCGCUAGGGUCCAGGGCGGAGGCCAAGCUUAGGUAGCCCGGCAGCUGUCGGACGGGGGAUCAACGCACGCAGACAACGCCACAGCCUACUACGAGGCGAGCAAAAGUCAGAGCACGCUUUGACCCAUUGCGACCCCGGUACAGGCAGACAACUGUUAGAAAAAAUAAUAAUGCCCCGAACCACAAUCACCAGGUCGUCGCCCCGGCCCGUGCCGUGUCAACGCCCAGCCUAACCGCGGCAAAAGCAGGUCGCACCCCCGCAUCGCGCGACGCGUCGUCCGACCCGCGCGCCGCCCCCGUCGCGUAGCUAGCAGCUAAGCUAGCACGAUCGGUCGGGAUUCCGGUGCUCGCCAGAGCCAGCCGCCACGUAAGUCAAACACGGCCGUCCGAUCCGAUCCGUCCGUUCCGUCCUAAUCAAACCCCUGCGAGACGCGACGCGCGAUGCGAUGCCAUCGGCCACGGGUCAACGUCGCCGAUCGACAUCGCUGUUGGGCUCAGCGUCGUCGUCGUCGAUCGUCUCGGUUCGGUGCACCGUGCGUGCACGUGUUACACAGCACGGUGCGGGGCGGAACGAGCUCUCGAUCGUCGUGUGGCCGCCGUGCUAGCUGCCACAAGUGCCGCGCGCACUAGCGAGGUGCUCGUACGGUGAACCCAGCUGACUGCCGCGGUGCCGCCCGUGGGCGCGCCGGCCGUGCGCAUGCAUGCGUGGGCCGGAACACGUCCGCGCCUCGCCGCCGUGCGUGCGUGUUCCGCACCGCUAGCGCCACCAACCGCGCGACGAUGUAGCCGGGCGGGCCUGAAUUGUUCUCUCUCCGGCCCGCACGGCGCGUCGAGUCGGAUCGGAUCGGAUAUUCGGAUGGGUUUUUGCGUCGUCGAUGGAGGUGCCCUCGGCGGCACGGCAGGGCAGGGCGCGCGGACGCGUUGCCGUCCACGGCGACGACUCCACCACCACCGAGUUGUGUGUUUUUCCGGUGAACGCACCGUGUGGCUUCGUUCUGAGCACGACCGCCGAGUGCAGGACAUGUUGGUGUCAUGGUGUGUGUAUAGGAGUAGAAUGUUAGUGGUUCAGAUGACAGACGUGGAGAGAAAUUACAGCCGACGAAUGAAGGAAGAUAGCACUUUGAAAUUACAAUGUUAGUAUAGUCUGCUUAGUAGAUGGAGAGAGGUAGUAAUUGAUUGCACGCGAUCGAUUGAUAAGCACAAUGAGGCAGGCUGCUGAUUAUUACGCGAUCCGGCCGAUCCAUGCAGGUGCAUGCGUGCAGUGCAGGCUAAUAAUAAUGUAAUCCGGCCACCACCAGCCCACUGCGGCGCUACUAGGCCAUUUUCCCCGUGAGGCCGUGACGAAAGGUGGUCGUCCCCAGGCAGGUUCUCUACCUCUCUCUCUGCCAAGACAAUGCAAGCUGAGAAGAAUUGUUUGCUGAAGCAGGCAGGAGGCAGCAGCAUAAGUAAAAGCUUACUAUGCACUGUAUUAUACUAGUGCAAGUAGCACACGCAGGUCAUCAUGAUGUCCGAUCCAUCCCUGAUUAGUGCAAAUUAGAAUCAAUCAGGAUUCGAUUCAGGCGUGUGUAGUCUGCGUGCUUGCUGGCAGCAAAUGAGUACAGGUUUGACCCCUCCGAUCCCCACCCGGACCAACGACGAUUAUCUUCUCUCUCUCUCUCUCUCUCUCUCUCUCUCUCGAUGGUCAAAGCUUUGUCGAGACGUGGCAGCGACGUUAGGACAAGAGAGAGAGAGAGAGAGAGAGAGCAGCAGCAGUAGCGGUAUGCAAUGCAGUAUUGCAGUGAGACGAGUAGGGCAGAGAGAGCAUGCACAUCACAGCGCAGGAGGACGGACGGUGUCCCUGUCCAGGCUUUUGACUCGGCCUCCGAUCGACUACACGGCCUACUCGAGUCGAUCCUACUGGGAGUGGAGGAGUGAUCGCGUGUGUGGUGUGGAAGAACGAAGGCCAGGCCGGGAUGGGAGAGACCUCUCAUCCAUCAGUGGGCGGCCGCCUUUUUCCGGGCACGCGUGCCAGGCCCCGGGCCCUCAUCACCUCCCUUUUGACGUGACGCGCCUCUUCGCGUUCGCCGUCGCUCUCCGUCGUCGUCGUCGUCGUCUCCGCCCUGCUCAUAAGCAUGACGUCAACGGGUCUAACUUCGUCCCCUGCUUGCCGUCGUCUUGCCCAGCUUCAUCCCUCGAUCGGCUUCCGCCGCCGCCGCAUGCAGUCGAGAAGGUCACGGGUCGUCGCCCCGCGCGCCUAGGCGUGUAGGCCGGCCGCCGUCUCGCGAUUCGUAGCAGAUCUCUUGGCAGGCACGCUAGCUAGCUGCCGUCGCCAGCCCAAGGCAAUGUACGUACUCGCCGUGUCGACACGACACGAGCAGCUUCGAUCGGCUGCCGCUACGUACGUGCUAGCGCGCGCGUAUUUCCGCUAGUUUCCACUUUUAUUAAUUAAUUUACCUGUGACUAUAUAAUUAUCCCGCUGUUGAUGGCCAUGAUGCUGCACGCUGCAGAUUUAGUUCGCUAGGCCAGGCGUAUCUGGCAGCUGCUGGACGUUUUUUUCGACGGCCAAAGAAAACGAUCGAGAGGAAUACAGAAUACGUACAGAUAUACGGUGGCUGCAUGCAGGUCCAUCGCGUCGCCUGGACUGGGGAUCGCAAAGGGAAUAUAGGUAGACGGAGAAAAUUCCAAAAAGAAAAGGGCAGAUCGGAUCAUAACAUAACAGCCAUGCCAAAGCCAAAUCAUGGGGGUGCCUAACGCGAUUUCUUUCUUUCAGCCCUCAUCGGUACGUUCUUCCAUCACAUCAACUUUACCAAACGAUGCCGAUAUAUUUGUGUCCCUAACAUAACUAUAUCUAAUUUUUUUUUUCGAGAUCAGGCCAAGCAGCUCCAAAACCCUCACACAUCUGUCAUGCAUUUUUAACGUCUGUUUCAGGUAAAAUUGCUAAUCGAUCAGAUCGAUAACAAUAAUAAUAUUACGCCGAAAGCCUCUGACUUUUCGAAUUAAAUCCAUCUCCCCGUACAUGUAUACGCAUGCAUGCUCCCUGCCUCCUUACCUUAUACUAUGAGUCUUAUAAAAACAAACCAAACUGUGAACCAUGCAUCAUUGUGUGUUCAUUCUGCCACGUACGCUCAAAUACAUAAUCAUUAAUUUAGCUACAGCAAACAUCAUGCUAUUUUUUUUUUUACAAAAACAUCAUGCUACAAUGACAGGCGUGCUAUAAAAUACGAUUUGGUCUGUGCAGCCCAUGGGCACCUGCGUAAUUUCACAUGUCACGAUAGCGAUGCCGACUUCAGCUUCUUGUGGUCGGAAAUUUUUAACAGUAAAAUAAAGGUGAUGUCGAGGAUUUAAAACGAUUAUCGCUGAGAAAGUAAUGCCCUAGCAGCUAGGGUUAUACAUAGAAAAAUCAGCCGGGGAGGAAGAAUAUUGCACACGCACAGACGCAAACAAGACUUCUGUGUGUACAAGAAUUAGGUGCAGCAGCAGCAGCAGCGCUGCUGUGAGCUGCUAACUCUAGUUCAGUACUAGCCCUUUUUGGUUAGGUAGUGAAUGAAAUCAUCAAACAUUCCAUCUUAUUGGUGUAAUUUAUUUGCUUACGUUGCUAUCACCCAAGACUAGCUAGCUAGCUUUAUUUCGGAUCGGAGGUCAAAGGCAUGCAUGCCUUUGAGAUUACUUAGAACUUAUUCGACAGUAUUGUAUUCUUUUGUAUUUGUUUUUUUAAAUUAAAAAGAAAGCUAUUAUACAUGCAUUAUUUAUUAUACUGAUUCGACGCAACAUCUAUGUCCUGAUUCUUAUGUGUGAAAAACAUGGGAGCAUAACUCAAUUGCUCAUCAAGACCUGUUCCUCUCUAUAUAUCCAGUUCCAAUAUAAAUGGGACAAUCUUCAACAGAAAAAUGUAAUUGGUCACUAAAAAGAUGCGCUGACUGGAGCAUGCUGCAUGCAGGAGAACGGACAUAAAAAAUA
rnacentral:lncRNA from 1 species